UUAUUUAUUUUAUUAUAUUUAUUUUUUGUUUAUUUAAUUAUUUAAUAAAAAUAAUUUUAUUGAAUUUUGUCUUAGUAUAUUUUGUAGAAUUGAUUUUUUAAAUUAUAGUUUAUUGGUAAUGUAAUUGUUUUAUGAAAUAUUAUUUUAAAUUUUUAAAAGUAUAUUUUAUUUAUUGUACCUUUUGUAUCAGGGUUUAUCAAAAUUUUAGUAUUUAAUUUACUUGUCUCGAUUUGGGUUGAUUUAUAAAUAAUUUAUAGUUAAUGUAUCAUAAUUAUUAUUAAAUUAUUUAUGGAAAUGAAAUGUUAAUCGUUUCCCAAGAUAUCUAGUUUCUUAAGAAAAAUUUUAAUUUUUUAAAGUUAAUUGUUUUUAUUUAAUUUUUUAAUUAUAAAUAUUAACUUAUUUAUUCUUUAAGGGAUAAGCUUUGAAGUUAAUAACCUAUAAUUUGUUUUGUAAAAUAUAAUAGUAAGCUUUAAACCAGCUAUCUUUAAGAUUACGUUUUAGUUCAUUAUUUUCUAUUUUGAUUUUAUAAUUAUUUUAGGUUUUUUAUUAGGAUUAUUUAUUUAAUUUUAAAAUUUUUGUAAUAAUGAUAGAAUUAGUAUAUUUACUUGUAUAUAAUUUUUACCUUGUGAAUUUAUAAUAAGGAACUAGGCAAAAUUGAUUUCCGCCUGUUUAUCAAAAACAUGUCCUCUUGAAAAUACUUUGAGGUCUGGCCUGCUCACUGAGCGGAUUUUUAAAGAGCCGCGGUAUUUUGACCGUGCAAAGGUAGCAUAAUCAUUAGUCUCUUAAUUAGUGGCUGGAAUGAAUGGCUUGACGAGAAAUCAACUGUCUCUUAAUAAAUUUU
rnacentral:rRNA from 1 species